GACGUAGGGCGCGAGCGUUGUCCGGAUUUAUUGGGCGUAAAGAGCUCGUAGGCGGUGUGUCGCGUCGGCCGUGAAAACCCGGGGCUCAACCCCGGGCCUGCAUUCGAUACUGGCAGGCUAGAGGCAGGCAGGGGAGAUCGGAAUUCCUGGUGUAGCGGUGAAAUGCGCAGAUAUCAGGAGGAACACCGGUGGCGAAGGCGGAUCUCUGGGCCUGUCCUGACGCUCAGGCGCGAAAGCUAGGGGAGCAAACAGG
rnacentral:rRNA from 1 species